rnacentral:lncRNA from 1 species
GACAACAUAACGGAGGUCAAGUUCAAUAAUGACGAUUUUUACUUUUACCGUUCAGGAGUUACGGUUCUUGAAAGUUUAAAAAAUGUCGUGUCCGUGCAUUUACUCAUGAACCAGUAACCAAACCUUUUAAAAUUUUAAUAUGUUGUUACUGACAACAAAAUGGAGGUCAAGUUCAAUAAUGACGAUUUUGACUUUUACCGUUCAGGAGUUACGGUUCUUGAAAGUUUAAAAAAUGUUGUGUCCGUGCAUUUACUCAUGAACCGUUCAACCAAACCUUUUAAAAUUUUAAUAUGUUGUUACUGACAACAAAAUGGAGGUCAAGUUCAAUAAUGACGAUUUUGACUUUUACCGUUCAGGAGUUACGGUUCUUGAAAGUUUAAAAAAUGUCGUGUCCGUGCAUUUGCUCAUGAACCGUUCGAUCAAACCUUUCGGUUCUUGAAAGAUUGAAAAAUUGUGUUACCUGAGUAUUAUUGGCAGAUUAUACAACAGAAAUUGGAUUCAUUAACUUUAGAAGCAUUCUAUGUUUUAGAUAUUUUCAAAAUCCUAGGUAGGUGGACUUAGUAAUUUUUUCUUACUUUAUGCAUUAAGGGCACACAGUAUGUCCUGCUAGAGGGUCAUUUUCUAUCUAGUUUAUAUGUUGUUAUUGUUGACAACAUGGAAGUCAAGUUUGAUAUUGAUAAUCAUAAAUUUUACCUAUUAGGAGUUUUGGUCCUUGUAAUAUUGAUAAAUGCCAGAACACAAAUAAAUGUUAAAGAAUCCGGUUUACUGUCAUUUUGACAGCUCUUGUUUUAUUUGAACUAGAUG